rnacentral:rRNA from 1 species
UGGGGAAUAUUGCACAAUGGGCGAAAGCCUGAUGCAGCGACGCCGCGUGAGGGAUGACGGCCUUCGGGUUGUAAACCUCUUUCAGCAGGGACGAAGCGCAAGUGACGGUACCUGCAGAAGAAGCACCGGCUAACUACGUGCCAGCAGCCGCGGUAAUACGUAGGGUGCAAGCGUUGUCCGGAAUUACUGGGCGUAAAGAGUUCGUAGGCGGUUUGUCGCGUCGUUUGUGAAAACCAGCAGCUCAACUGCUGGCUUGCAGGCGAUACGGGCAGACUUGAGUACUGCAGGGGAGACUGGAAUUCCUGGUGUAGCGGUGAAAUGCGCAGAUAUCAGGAGGAACACCGGUGGGGAAGGCGGGUCUCUGGGCAGUAACUGACGCUGAGGAACGAAAGCGUGGGUAGCGAACAGG